rnacentral:lncRNA from 1 species
UUCAUUUGCUGAGGACUUCCUCCAACCAAUCCCAAAACUAGUAAUAAAGAGAAGUCUCUGGUACUUGUUUGAGGAACACAGGGGUAUUCCCUUAAAUGAAAAGAGAAACCGAGGAGCCAUUGAAUACUACCAUGGCUUCUCACACCUAGGGCCAUCACUUGAGCUCCCGAUUUAGUUCCCAGUGUCCUGCUGGCAGAUGUUCUGGGGAUAGGUCUUGGAGGUGGUGAGGAAUGUUUUGAGAAUUAUGUGUAGACUUCAAAGCCAUCAGCAGUAGACUUAUUGACCAUGUGCAGAGCCUCAUCCUGGUUUCUAUGAGGAUCCUGGAGCCCUGAGUAGGAUGAUUGACUAUGGCCUUCUAGAAAGCCCAAGUGAAUAAAAAAAGCUAGAUGGAGCUAGAGGUGGGAAUGUUCCUCAGAGUCUCACUUCUCCUGCCAGACUUGCCUCUCCAUUCCUGACAUCAAGACUGCAUUCAGUGACUGUACCUGCAAGAUUGGCAGGCGAGAUUGUUUGACCCAGGCCUGCUCUGCCCUCACAGGCAAGGGAGUUCGAGAGGGCAUCGAAUGGAUGGUGAAGUGUGUCGUACGGAAUGUUCACCGGCCACCACGGCAGAGGGACAUCACAUAAGCACCUUCAUCCUCACAGUCUUGGACUGUUCAUCCCCUAGUGUUGGAAGAGUAUUCUCUGCUGGCUUCUGUCCUCCUGAUGCUGGGGGU